rnacentral:rRNA from 1 species
UACAGAGGUCCCGAGCGUUAGGCGGAAUCACUGGGCUUAAAGCGUGUGUAGGCGGAUUGGUAAGUACCUUGUGAAAUCCCACGGCUUAACCGUGGAACUGCUUGGUAUACUGCUUAUCUUGGGCCACUUAGGGGUUACCGGAACAAACGGUGGAGCGGUGAAAUGCGUAGAUAUCGUUUGGAACGCCAAUGGUGAAAACAGGUAACUGGGAGUGUGCCGACGCUGAGACACGAAAGCCAGGGGAGCGAACGGG